UUCUAGGAUUUCGUUUGAAAUUUUGCUUCUUACUAAGAAAACCGAAAUACAAGAAAAACUAAAAACAAAAUAGAUAUUUUUGAAGAACAGUAGAAUUAGAACUAUAGAUUACCAAAUUAGUAUUUUUUGCAGAGUUUUCUUAUUUGACUCAGUUGUUGGUUACAAUGACAGACGAGAGUAAAUCACUUAUUCCCUACGAUAAGGACGAUUAUAAAUAUUACUGGCCAUAUGAUAAGG
rnacentral:lncRNA from 1 species